rnacentral:snRNA from 1 species
GGACAUGAAGGAUAUCUGGUUUCAACAUCUUGUCACUGCAUUGAUCACCAGGGUUGAUUAAGCUGAUCUGGCUGGCUAGGUGGGUGUCCCCUUCCUUCCUCACUGCUCCAUGUGCAUCUCUCCCAGAGCUGUUUGCUCUGAGGAAGAGGAUGACCAUCUCAGAUAGAGAUGGUCAUCAUUCAUGGGGGUUCAGUCACUCCCCUGCUAGAACCUCCAAACAAGCUCCCAAGAAAUAUGAAAGGUGGCUGGCUGGCAGAGUAGCUCAAGU